GUGUCAUGCAAGAAGGAGGCGGCGGCGGCGGCGGCCGGAGCUGGAGUGGGAGGAGGGGAGGAACCUGAUCCUCGGUAGCGAAGGGCUGGAGGCAAACACCGAGCUCCCCCUGAGCCGCUCGGGAACAGGGAGGGUUCUGCUACCCUGAGGGGCCCUCCCCGCGGGGCAGAGGGGACUAGCCCAACAUGGCUUCCAACACAGAGGAGACCAGAAGGACCCAAUAAGAGAUGGAAGACGCGACUGAGAAUACAGAAAGGAGGGUGGUGCUGUGUGGGAGGCAGAUACAGAUGGUGUUUCCAUAAGAGGAAGUGAUCAUGGCAACCAUGACCUUCUUUCUUCCAAGAGGCUGCUGGGAAGGUGGGAUGACCUAGGACUGACCUUGGACUUGGCAUCACAGAAGCCAUGUCAACCUUCACAGGGUUUCCUCAGCAGUGCCCCCGAGCAGGGACCGCGCCAGCCAGCAGAAACAGCUAGUUGUUGUCUACAGUGAAGAAUAAUUGGAAGCAUGGUGCCUGCUUCUUUUCCUGUGGGGGGAAGUCACGACAUGUACUUCUGACUCUAUGCUUGCCUUGAGGAACAAUGGCAUGACACAGGGAUGUGGACGUUUUUCAACCAGAUGCUUCGGUACAGCAGUGUCGGCACACAAGGAGUGUUCCACUGACUGACCUCUUUUUGUUUUCAAAUGAAGAGGAGCCAAGAAUAGGACGGCUUGGGAAGCCCAUCCUCGCCUAUGGCCAAGGGUUUCUCGUUUCUAGAAGAUGAAAGAUGUGAUGACUUAGGAAAAACUAGAAUCUGAGUAACUGUGGUGGGCACUGGGCCAGAGGUAGGCAUACACCUUGCCAUCCACAAGAGAAAGUGUGCUGUUCGAGAUGUGAGUCUUCAGAUGUUCCCGCCGCCAUAUCUGACAGCUGCUGCCAAGAUUCCCUGGUGCGAUGGACUCUUAUACCUCUACAACCAGAAGCCCAAGUAAACUCUUCUAUAAGUUGAAUGAAUCAUGCUUUAAAAAAAAAAACCUACUAUCUUUA
rnacentral:lncRNA from 1 species